rnacentral:rRNA from 1 species
UGGCGGACGGGUGAGUAAUGUCUGGGAAACUGCCUGAUGGAGGGGGAUAACUACUGGAAACGGUAGCUAAUACCGCAUAACGUCGCAAGACCAAAGAGGGGGACCUUAGGGCCUCUUGCCAUCGGAUGUGCCCAGGUGGGAUUAGCUUGUUGGUGGGGUAACGGCUCACCAAGGCGACGAUCCCUAGCUGGUCUGAGAGGAUGACCAGCCACACUGGAACUGAGACACGGUCCAA